CUUGUUAUUUAUUUCCCUGUUGGCCUAAACAUGAUAAAUACUAUUCUCCCGGUUACUGCCUGUUAUUUGCGCAGGCGCUUUAAUCCUUCCUGCCUCAAAUUCCAGACCGCGGUCAGGAGGCACACGGCCGAAGUUGACACUCAGCCUCUU